CGACCCACGACCACCGCCCCAGGACGGCGAGGACGGCAGUUGCCACCGUCCUAUCUGCCCACAUCGAGAGAGAGGGAUAGAGAGAUGGUUAACUCGCCAUUCUUACAUUGUUCCUCCGUCCGUCAAUGGCGGAACAGAGCUUAGAGUGGCGCGACGAGCAUUAUUGCCUUGUAGUGGUUUCUUACAAAAACAAAAACAAAAGUGAUGCAUGAUGAUGGAGCUUCACGAUCUCGAGAUUCUUAUGUUCGGUGUCAUCAUGCUUUAAACCAAGCAUUCUCCCUGUUUCCCCAUUUUGGUUUAUCAAGGUUUUGCACAGGAUGAGCUCAUAUCCUCCAUUUUCUCCUUUUGAAGGAAGAAUCACAUCAGUAUCAAAUAGUUACUGCAAAUCAGCGUCACAGGUGAAGAAGUUACAAAAUGAGAUUAAGUUCAACUACGCACUUAUGUUGAAGUGGAGUUCGAGUCCAGCCACCAUGGAUGGAGAUUUGAGAUCUGAAAGACAUGGAGGAAAAUAACCUGCAGGCUGCAUGUUAUUAGCAAUUCGACGCAUUCAUUAGCUCUGGAAAGAAUUCUGCCAUCCCACUGACACAGACAGUAUUUUUAGACCAAAGAGAAAACACAAUCAAGGCCUAAAGGUGAUAUGAACAAGAAAAGGUUGAUGCGAGCUAUCCUAGAAUGACAACAGACAUUUCCAGAAUACAAGUGCUGACUCGUGGAGAAUUCAACUCAGAAGGUAAAGACUGUAUCCUAAUCGAUGCUCCUGCCCUUCUCCUUUCGCACUUGUUUGCCCUAGGUUUCUGUCUGAGAUUGGUGGAAAUACCUCUAUUUUCUCCAUGUAUUGCUUCGAAUAUAGUGGUGCUUUUAAUCUUUUAUACGUCGAAGAUCCACGACAGUUUGUCGUCACUCAUAGUCAUACUGGAAAUGG